rnacentral:lncRNA from 1 species
UUUAGGUUGUUUGUUUUUGUUCAGAUAUCUGAGAAUCAAAUUAAAACAUUAGGUAAAUUCAAACAAUAUUCAAUAUCAAACUGAAUUGCUGUGCGGUGGACAACUCCAUUUAACUUUUUCUUGUUGGAAGUUAUAAUUAAAUUGGAAAAUUUACAGUACUACUAGUAGUAACUAUUUUGAUCUGUUACUCUUUUCAUGAGGUUUUGUACGAUAAUGGACAAUGGAUGCCAGCCUCCACAAUGGUUUUGUGACUUCGCUUGAUAUAUGCGACUUACGUCUAAAAAAGUUUUGAUGUUUUCCACCCAUUAUCUUGCAUGAAAUGC